UACAGAGGGUGCGAGCGUUAAUCGGAAUUACUGGGCGUAAAGGGCGCGUAGGCGGUUGAUUAAGUUAGGUGUGAAAUUCCUGGGCUCAACCUGGGGACUGCAUUUGAUACUGAUUGACUAGAGUAUGGUAGAGGGGAGUGGAAUUUCCGGUGUAGCGGUGAAAUGCGUAGAUAUCGGAAGGAACACCAGUGGCGAAGGCGACUCUCUGGGCCAAUACUGACGCUGAGGCGCGAAAGCGUGGGGAUCAAACAGG
rnacentral:rRNA from 1 species